GAAGGUGUAUCUAGAAAGACAAAUUAGAGCUUGAAAAGUAAAGCAUUUCAUUUACAUUGAAAAGUAUAUUGUGUGAUUCAAUUUAAUUUGAUAAUAAAAAUUUAUUAAUUUUUUUUUGUUUAAAAGUUUAUUUAAUAAAAUUAAUUUUAAAUUAAGUUUUUUUUGUAUAGUAUAUAGAUUAAAUAAUUUAUAUAAUAGUUAAUUAGUAUUGUGAAAGAAUAUUGAAAUAUGUGAAAAAGUUUUAAGUUAAAAGUAAAUUUUAUAUAUUGUACCUUGUGUAUCAGGGUUUAUUAAUUAAAAGUUAAAAAAUUUAAUUUUUCUCGAAUUUAAGAGAGUUAAUUUAUUGUUUGAUUUUUUGUCUCAUAAAAAUUUAAAAUAAUAAAUUAGAAAUGAAAUGUUAUUCGUUCUUGAAUAUAUCUAGUUUUUUAAGAAAUAAAUUAAAUUUAGAUUAUUAAUAGAUAAUUAUUUAUUUAAAUAAUGAAUUAUUAUUAAUAAUUAAUAUUUUAAGGGAUAAGCUUUAAAGUAAGUUUUAUAAUAAUUUUUUAAUUUAAAAAUUAUAGGUUUAGAAAUAGUCAUUAAUUAUAAAAAUGUUAUAAUUUAUUUUAAAUUAAAAAUAAUUUUUAUUAAUUUAAGUUUUUAUUAAAAUAAUUUUUAAAAUUAUAUAAAAAUUAAAAUAAUGAUAAAAUUAGUAUAUUUAAUUGUUUAAAAUAGAUGAAUUGAAAGGUUAAAUUAAGGAACUUGGCAAAUAAAUACUCGCCUGUUUAACAAAAACAUGUCUUUUUGAAAAUAAUUUAAAGUCUAAUCUGCCCACUGAAGAAUUUUAAAGGGCCGCGGUAUU
rnacentral:rRNA from 1 species